UCAUCCCCUGCAUUAUCUCCACCCAGUACCUGGCACACAUCCUCGGCAGCAGGGUUUGCCAGUUCAGCGCUCCCUCCUGGGGCGCUUUCCCUCUGUGGGAUGUUGCUCAGAAGAGGGGCAGAACUCCUUUCUGUUCUUUGGCAUUCAGGUCAAGGUCUCUACAGCUAGCAGGAAGACUGCUAUGAUUUCAGCUGCGAUAUUUGAUGGAUAAAUCCCUUAUCCCAUCUGCUUGCUUAAUCCAGGAUUCUGAAGCGCAUUUACAGAUCAGAAAAGGAGAGAGAAGAAUGUUCCUGUCCCUUACGUGACACAGAUCUCCUGUGCAUCAAGGAUGUAUGGCAGACCUGAGGUUCUCUCUAGUCCUCCCUCUGUUCCAGCUACUCGCAGAAGAUCGAGCCUCUUGCCUGCCCUCAGCUAUUGACUUUUGAUUCUGUAUCCUAGAUAGAGAUGUGGACAUUUUUUCUGUCCUUAUCCACCUACUUUGUCAGCAGAUAGGAGUAGUAAUAAUUUUCCACAUAACAAGGAAGAGUGAGAAAUGAAAAUUUAGAAAAAGAGGUGUUGAUAUUAUUACUUCAAAGAAAAGCUUCCUAUUUUAGGUGCUUACUUAAGAAAAAAAAAAAAAAAAAAUACUAAAUGUUAAAAUGUAUUUAAACUUUGAAUUGCAUAUCAUGUAUAAUUAUCCAUAGUCACUAUUAUCACAUACACACAUAUUUUGCAGUGUUAUUUUUGCUCAUAUUCUGGAGCUAAGACUAAAAUACUUCCAAAUUGAUGUCUGUGAUAAUGUAUAUUUAUUUAUUUAUUUAUUUAACAUGAAUAUGAACUUUUAAAAGUCUUUUCCUGGAGGUAAAAGUUUUGGUUUUGAUUUUGAAAGUGUCAAACAGCAUAAAAUGCCAAAACGGAAGAGGGUUAUUCUACUGUAAAAAUACUCUUGGCUUAGGUGACUGCCUAGGCUGGUAUAAAUAUAUGGAAUUAAAUGUACCUUAAUUUAUUUUUUUUUUAAGAAAUGGCUUAAUUUUCAGGGAUGUUAUUCUAUGUUUUCUCACACAGACCUGAUGUGUACAGUAAACAUGCCAAUGAGACAAGCAAUGAGCCCCCAUUUAGGGGUUGUUUGUGUUAGACAAGUUUUCCCUCCACUUACCUGUGUCUGUGAACCUGAAGAAUGAAAUGUUCAUGCACAAGAAAAUUUAAAUCUUGAUUUGGAAAGUCAGUAUGCAGAGAGAUAGCAGCUCAGAAUUAUCUAGAUGUGUUGGUCUGUGUUUGAUCCCACAUACGUGAUGUAGCUCAUCACUGUGCAUGCCGGAACUGUGGACCAUAUACAUCACAUGCAGUACAGCAUACAGCCAGAAACCUAACCUACGGCUAUUUAGGGCUCAUGGGAAAACCCUCGACUAGUGCUAAAAUAGGAGGAACAGCCUUGUGACAAGAGCUGGCACCUUCAUGACAGGCAUAUCCUUUCACACUGUGGUAUAAUGCAGUUCAGCAUGCUUUGAAGGCCCAAAUUGGUGGUGGUCCUGGCUUAUCUUUCAGUAGAUACUGAUCUUUAUCACAGUCAUAACAAACUAUUCAGCAGAGUUUGAGGGGGUGAGAGAAGCCUUUGGCUUCGUUUAGAACAACUCUGAUGUGAACAUUAAGAUAUUCUGUGCUUUGAGUGGCUGGCCUUUUUUGUGUCAAAUUUUAAGAUGUAUAUAAAAUGUGGUGCUAUAUUAGACCUACUCUGUUGCACUGGAUGGAGCAAAGAGCACAUUUCAGUGAGAUGCUCAAAAUAUCAGGCUUCUAAUUCUUGUAGUUUGGAUUUUGAACAAAAGGGCAUUCUGUUUAAUUCUUUUAUAGCUUCAGCUGAGUGGCAUGGAUUUAUGAAGUGAAAGGAUGUCUGUUCUAGUAUAAUUUCCCAGGCAUAUGCAAUUUUGCCUUGGUAACUUCAGAUCCCCUCGAUUCAGAGCUUAAGUAGGGAAAAUACAGAAUUUUUCAAUGGUUAGAGGAAAGUGGGGCAAAGUGUUAUCUCAAAAAUGUGAUAUUUGGCUUCCAGUGGACACAGAAACUUGACACAAAUCAAAUGUCAAACUAGCUGAUAGUAGACAGGAAGGAUUAGUGUUGACACAGCAGACCUGACCCCUGCCAGCAGCGUAACUGUGUUUAAAUACAGCCACAUCUAUCUGAAAUCACCCCAGGCAUAUGAGCGGUAGAAAUUGAAGGUGAAGAUAUAGGAAAUGUGGUGUGAUAGGACAUUCUCAUGCCUAAUUGGGCUGACAGCUCAGUCUGGAUGGAGGACAGUGUUUAUUUACUCUUUGUUGUGUGAUGAGCAACUAGAAAGAUAUGCUUGCUUUAGCUCAUGCUGAUAUUGGUCCUAACACCGUCUGGCUCCAGCUGCAGUAAACCAGGACAAUACAACACAAAAACUUCCUAUUCACCAUCACUUUUAAGUCUGUCCUGGCACAGAUAUGCAAUGACCUCAGACCACAGUUGGGUCUAAUAGGGAAUUUAUCUUCAUGGAAAUGUGACCUCUUGCUACCAAAAGGCUACAAAAAUACAAGUAACAAUGGGCAAAUGAAGAUAAAGGUUUAUCCUGGCCGUGUUGCAUUUUCCAAACAGUUCAGCCCUGCGAUGAAAAACUACAGUUUGACAUAGAGCGCAGUCUGAAGCUUUUAAAAAUGUAUCAAGGUCAUGGUUGAAAGAACACAUUAUUGUUUUUGUUUUUAUAGGUAAAAAUUUCUGGAUUGAUUCUCUCUCCUUUGAAUGAUGCUGACAAGCAUUCAGCAUCAGUUUUCAAAUCCCAGAACCCAGUAUGGUCACAAGAACAGAGAUUUCAGGAAUUUCAAUUUCUCACCAAGGAAUAAUUUUUUUCUCUCUUAACCAUCCACACUAAGAGCUCAUACUGCGUAUGUGCUUUUAAUCUUGACUUCAAUAUAUUUUACUGUGGCUAGUUUUACUUACGGUUUAAUAACUUCAGCCU